rnacentral:rRNA from 1 species
AUACGAAGGGGGCAAGCGUUGUUCGGAAUAACUGGGCGUAAAGCGUACGUAGGCGGACUGGAAAGUUGGGGGUGAAAUCCCGGGGCUCAACCCCGGAACUGCCUCCAAAACUUCCAAUCUAGAGAUCGAGAGAGGUGAGUGGAAUUCCAAGUGUAGAGGUGAAAUUCGUAGAUAUUCGGAGGAACACCAGUGGCGAAGGCGGCUCACUGGCUCGAUACUGACGCUGAGGUACGAAAGCGUGGGGAGCAAGCAGGAUUAGAAACCCUAGUAGUCC